AGGGUCAAGUAUUACCUUUUCAGCGUUUCCUGAGACUGAACUAAAUACAUGAUGUUCUGAGCGUCGAGAGGACGGCACGACAAUAGUUGUCAAAUGUCAAGAAUUAACUGUAUGAAUAAGGACUUGAAUGGCAUGUAUAUAGAAUCUGCUUUCAAUACAAGUUACUGCUAAACUUGUUGACAGUUUUCUUCUAGGUGCUUGGUCUGCCAUGCGGGAUGAGUGGGUCUCAGAAAACAUCCAUGACUACAUGAAUCCAUGUGGAAUUGCUGUGGGGAAAGCUGAAGAAUCGGGACCAGCAGCUUGCAUCAUGGCCUGGUAAAAUUAAAAAGGUAGCACAAGGAGCAGUGUAAGUUAAAGCUUUUACUGGUACUCCACCACACUGCAGUCUGCUUAUGUAGAUCUGCUCUGCUAUAGCAUUUUGAUAAAUGUUGGAGCGUCUUGGCUCUUUUGUGUACCAACAAAACAUUGCUGUGAGCAGAUUUUGCACUUCAGCUUUAUCUUCACAAAAGAAGGAAAAUGGGUUUUGUUUGGGGGAAAGUGAUUGUCAUUUGUGUUCUGUAAAGAAGUGCGUUGUAUAUGGAAAAAAAAAAUGUAUUUGAAAUCCAAAGACUGUUUAGGAACAUGGAUAUCAGUAUCUGCAAAUAAAUCCUAUUUUUAUCAUCCA